ensembl:lncRNA
CUUCUACAUUAGUUUACUUUUUUUAUUAUUUUACUAAUAUCUUACUCAAAAGCCAUGGACAGAGGUUUGCAUACUGGACUAAUGAGGCCAGAGCAUUGCUCCAAGGUUCACUGCAGCCGAUAUACAGGGUCCCAAAGGUCAGCAAGAGGGAACAUGAGGUGAGCAUGAUGAUGGCAGAGGACACCCAGUGGCCUUAUCCGGUCUUGAUUAAUUCAUAAAAAAAAACGUAAGGUUGUUUUAUAUAUAUAAAACAACCUUACGUUUUUU